GGAGAGUCGUUGUGAUGACGCUCGGCUCAAACAGCGUAUCCCCCGGGUAAGCUAUGCAAUCGUGGUACGCCCAUAGGCUGUUUCAAGUGUCAAUCAUAGAAAACUUGAACCGCCUAAUAACUUUUUAAAACGGAGCUGUACAGAAAAAAAGAGGACUUGAUCACAAACAAGUCUUACAAUACCUACAUGUCAACAUCGCAAAUCUGUUCUGAAGGAUGCUCCAUGUUUUAUCAGUAAGUUUUGUAUGGGGGUGGGUUUGCAUCCUGGGUGUGAUGCCAGUCCCCCAGCAUUUCUUGCCAGGUUGCUUCUGCAUAUUAUGUCUGUGACAGCUGGAGAGGUCUUGGCUUUUAAGCUCACAAUGAGCAGAAAUUAAGGGAUGUUGUUCACUUUAUAUACAGACAAUGAGUGAUAUCAAAAUGCCUAAGAUUGUUACAUGGGCCCUCUAGUCCAGUUUUGCAGUGUCUUUGAGCACCUGGGUUAGAGCAUUCAGUCUCUACUGGUAAACAAUAACAAGUGAAUUUUUUUUUUUGUUUGUUUCAAAGAAGCAUUUGUCACACAAUUAGUGCUGCCUCUUCACUGCAUUAGUGUAACCAGACAAACCUUUUCCUGCGCUUAUUUUUUUGGUAACACAUUACCAUGGACAAGGUCAUCUUUAUUGUCUGCUUUUAUCUAUACCCUUUAUCAUGCAAUCGCAGUCUGCUGAUAAUUGCUCUGGCAUGGGUGAUGGUGCCAAAGAAAAUUAACAGCACAGAAAUCUGCCAUGGAGUAAAACAUGGCUAAAUUCUAAGUUGUGUUUUAAUCCAUAUCAGCUGAUGGAUUUUUUUGUUGUUGUUGUUUGUUUGUUUUUUGUUUUUUUUAUAAUAACAGUACCAUGUUUGACUCAAUUCUGUCUAAACUGUUCAUCAGCAAUACAGGCACUUGUAGAGUCCAACAGCUAAGAGACAGGGGCUCAAGUCCCUUUGAGCUGUAUCUGUAUAUGUGCCAGGGACCUGCAUUGUAGUUAUGCAACCAACAUAUGCAACUAUGUUCUUAGUUGUCUUGGCCAAGCAAAACACAUUGUUUAAGACUGUCUGGCUUUUAAAACAAAUAAAGGAUGAAGUUCCUCUGUAUUUUGCCAAAAGCCGUGUUCAUUAUAGACCCAUUGCCGACCGAAAUGCUUGUUUUAGUUACGGAGUAGAAAACAAUCAUUCCAUUUGUAAAAAUAAAUCAAAAUGUCUUCUGUACAAGCUUAUGCCAAAAAGCUGUUCAUCUUCCCCAUUUAGUUAACUUCUUUCCCUUUUCCAACAUCCACUGCAUUGAGAUUGUUUAGUUUUGUCUGGGAAAAGCUUUCCCUUCCUAUCUAGUUACUCAGUGAACAAAAGCUUAUCUCAUUGACCUUGGUGAGGUGUCAAUAUGAGAUAACCAGCGUUAUCUUGUAUUUUGUUCAAUGUUUGUUGUCACUGAUAAGAUGACCUAUUAUCGUUUUCUCCACCAAAUGCACCACAAGCAUGGCUUAUGUAACUAUGAGUGCAUAAUGUAAUUUGCUGUAAUAGAUCUCUCCACAUAAGCAGAGGUAUUUUAAAUAUGCUUGGUUUCAGAAAAAAAAGGGAUGGGAUUAGGAUGAGGUCUGAACACCCUCCAUCAAGUUUGGAAGACUGCCAUUUUUAUUUUAUUUUAUUUUUGAGUGUGAAAUUUCUCAUCUGAUCAUUUUCUUUAAACAAAAUUUCGUCACAAUUCUACAGAAACAAUCACUUAGGCAUGGUAAAUGGAAAGUUACGUUCUACUACAUUUAGCCUCACUAGAACACAAAUCUGACACAUUUCACAUUCAUGAGGCAUAAUAAUGGAAAAAGAAAGUCAUAAUAAACAAGAUCAGAGCUCACAAGGUCUACAAACAAGUGGUCUGGCAGAAUUGCCACGCAGAUGCAAACUGCAAAGCAUGUGCAUUUCCCGUAUAUUCAACCUUCUUAAUUCGUUUGUCACCAACCCCAGCAAUCGUACCUUAAGCCCCCUAUUCGCUCCCAACCACUAGCUCUCCCUAACUUCCUCACCCACAACUCACCCCGUAUACCAACCACCAAUAAUAAAAAAAAUAAAAAAUAGCAAUGAAAAUGUUUUCACUGAUGGCAAAAUGAAAAAUACAUAGUUAUACAAAUACUAUAUAUCCUUAGAUAAAAGUCUAAGUCCAAAGGUUUACUGCAAGAGUGUGCCCAGAAUCAAUGUUGGGCAACAUGGGAUUAUUACUUCUAAAAGUGGAGAGAGUUUAGUUGUAACGAGUUUCCAGAUGGAUUUAACCAAGGGACAAUCCCACAUCAUGUGCAUAAAAGUACCUAUUGUGUUAAUGAACAGAAUGUACAGUUAAGUGAUUUUAAAACUUUUUAUUUUAUAGCAUUUUUGGGGGUGUUAAAUAAGUUCUAUGAGCAAAGUUGAAGUGUAUUAAUUGAUGAUUUAGGUUUCAGGAUAUCAUGUUAAUGUUUCUCCAAACUUUUUCUCAGUCAAUAUGUUGACAGCCUAAUUCAGUAUUUCGUGCUUCCAUGUAUAAAAGUGAUUUAGUUCUGUUCAAGAGAACUUGGCAUCUUGCAGAAAUUUGUCCUUUUGGGAGACCUAUGAAUUCAUUUAUGAAAUUGACUAACAGCUGUAUCGGUUGUUAGACCACAGAUCCCCAUGUGCUUUCAUUGCUGAUCUCAGUUGUACGUAUGUACAGAAAAAAGAGAAAACCCCGUUACUUGAAACUCAUAUUUUAAAACAGAAAAAAGUCUUCAGGCCAUUUACAUCAAUGACAUCGUCUAAUGUAUGUUAUCCAGAAUUUUUCCUCUGAGGAACGUUUUUCAUACUUACGCCAAAUUGCAAUCGCAGUUGAAAUUAUUGGACCAUCACACACUCUUGACUGUUUUGCAGAAAUUUUCAUAAAUAGUAUGUCCUGUAAGGAAUUGGGUGCAACAGUAUCUUUCUCAAUUCUUACUCAGGGCAUGUUUGAAUCCAAGUCAAACCAAUUUGAUAAGGAGCAAAAUGUCAAUGAUUGAGAAUAAAGUUUGAAAUUUGGAACUGCAAGUCCGCCAGAUUGUUUUUCAUUCUGCAUUAUUUUGGGUUUCACACAAGCUUGUUUGUCUUUCCAUAAAAAUGUUAUGUUUCUGUGUAAUUUUUCCCAGUACCCACAGGGUGGAGCAAUAGGAAUCAUUUAGCAACAGACAUGUAUUCUGGGCAAUAUGCUCAUUUUGAUGGUCAAUACUCUUCCAGGUAAGGACACAGGUAUAUUACACUAUCUAUUUAGAUCAUCUACAAUAGAUUUUAAAGUUCUGUUGUAAUUUACAGACACAUUCUUUCAAUAGAAGGGAAAAUAUCUAUACUUAAAUAUUCUAAAUGGUUUCUUUAGAGUAAUAACAAAAGGAUGUAGUCUUCAAUUAGUGGAUGAAUAAACAAUACAGUUGUAGAUUGGAUAUUAAUCAAUUUAGGAUCUGUAAGAAGCUCCAUGUCUCAUGAUUUUAAAGUGUCCAUACUUGCAGGAUAGUUACAACUGCGUAAUUUAUUGGCCAAAAAAGUGACUCGGUCAAUUUCCAUGAAAACAGUAAUUGAGUCUAGCUGUAUGAAAAGCAAAUUCAGCUCUUUUUCUAAUGAAUGUAUUAAGCUCAGUCUUAAUCUUUACAAGUGUGGAGGACACAUCCUGGGAGUAAUUAUUUUGCUGAGAGAGUUCUAAGACAUGUUCUAAGAUGAUUUUCCAACUCAGAUAUCUUUUCUCAGAUAUCUGUAAUAUAUUAAGACCUGAAGCAAAAGAUGUUGGAUUGUUUCCAAUACAGCCUUCAGUUGCAUCUGAAAGUAUCCAAAAAUCAUCCACAGAGUUUUCAUUAAUUUCUAGGAAGUGAUUUAUUCAUUCUGGGAUUGUUCUCAACAUGUUUGAUUGUUGAGUAAUGUGAAGUUAAAGUGCCACCUAGUGGCUUUUUUUGGUGUUGUUGUUGAAAGAACUGUAACUGACUUUAAUAAGCAUGAUGGUCUGAGAGACUUAAAGGGAGGAUAUCAGUUCUUUUGAAUGAAGAAAAUAAGGGUGAUGAUAUGAAGGUAAAAUAAAUCCUGGACGAAUGUACAGAUUUGAACAAUAUUAAUAUCAAAAAUAUUUUAUAACUGCAGUGUUUAAAAAAGAGGCUGCUUCUGAAGUUGUUAUAUUUUUUAGAGAUAGGUUGGAAAUCGCCCACACAAUGUUGCAGUGUGAUAAAUAGAGAUAAAUUAAGUUAUAAUGUAAUGAUAAAAACCAACUUCACAUAAAAAGAAAAAAACAAACAAACAAACAAACAAAAAAAACUUAACAUCUCAAGAGAUGUUGUUACCUUUCCGUAUGAAAAUCCAACCUUUUCCCUCCAGGAGAGUUCAUGAUCAAUCUGGAUACCCAAAAAAUCAUGUUGAUGAUACUGAUUGUGACAAUGGGAAGUUUUUAUUGCUAACUAGAAUAUUUCUUAUUUCCUGCAAAUAAAAUUACUUUUUGUUUUUGAAUUUUAGAGAUAAUUUGUUUGUCUGAAACCAAGUAUCAUAAUAGGAAAGGUCUUUAUUUGUUUCUCUAAUUAGAGUUGCUUAGUCCCUGUUGGAGGUAAAUAGAUUGGUAUCAUCUGCAAAGAGCAAAGGGACUGUAGUUUUUUUAUAGUGAAACAAUAUUAUUAGUGUAAAUCAAAAACAAUAAUGGCUCUAAUAAGGAUCCUUAAGGUACGCCAUACUUUCUCGGUGACACUUCACCAUUAAUAAAUGCAUAUUGUGUUCUAUUACGAACAAAAUGUUUAAACCACUUGUGGACAUUACCCUGGAAACCUUUCAGCCAGAAGAAUCUAAUAGGGUGGCUCUGAAGGCCAAUGGUAAUAAUUACUGCCCCCACUGUAAUAAUUAUUAUAUUACUCUCGGAUGGUAGGUAGUGUGAGUGGAAGGAAAAAUCUCCAACAAGAUGUGAAUUCUCAAAAAAUGAAGAGAACAUUUAUGAAGCCACAUCAAAAUAAGACAAAAAAUGUCAAAUUAAUUAAGUGCUUUGUAAAAAUAUCCCCAGCAGAGGAAAAUAAAAAUGAGACACUACUCCAACAUGAUUCCAACAAACUGGCUCUCCUCACUGCCUCACAUCUCAUGUGCCACACAUCACCUGGGCUGCUGAUUUCACACAGCUCAUAUACUCUGCCACCUGCAGCUUUAAUCACAGCCCCCAAAGGAAAACAAAACUACAAAAAUAACAGUUCUAAUCCACCGGACGCGAACUCUUUUUUGUAGGAUGGUAGGGGAAGGUCCCGCCCUCCUUCGCCUUUGAUUGGCUAGAAGUGCUGGGCUCCUAUUGGUUAUUGCUUAUGUCUGUGAAACGUCAUCGUCUGUUGGGUUGGGGGUAAGGGUUGUGGUUAGGAUUAUAGUUAGGGUUAGGAGAUUCAGAAGUGUGAUAAUGUUCCGUAAUGUUCUGUUCGAUGUACAGAGCCGACAGCCCGCGUUUGGCUUGAGCGUGUGAUGACGUUUCCAGCUUUUCUAGCCAAUCAGAGGCGAAGGAGGCGGGACCUUCCCCUACCAUCCUACAAAAAAUACAUAAAUCACCCACCAGAGAGCCCAUGGGCGUGUGACGAAGUUGACAGAGCAUGUAUUGACGGGGCACAUCCGCAUAUGACACAGCUGACCACUUGUGGGACGCCUACUGAGUCGCGAACUUUUAAGACAGGUAGGUGUCUGAUACAUUUUACAUGAUACUGGGAUUUGAUUUAAUAUGUCAGUGGUUGCAGGCUACCUUAUAUGUUUGGAUGGGAUGUUUUUAUGACAGUUUCUGAAACAAGCAGAAAUCCGAAUGACAUCACUAUAAAUACGUGAGUUUAAGUGUAAUAAACGUGAGCAGUGUGGAAACAAACCUGAAGAACUUUGAAACACGUGAUAACAGAACUACUUACAUCUUUAUGGACACAGGAAAAUGGGUUAUAGCGGAAAUGGAGUUCUAAAGUGAUGGAGAUGAUGCUGUGAGGAUGACGGAGAGAAUAACAAAGAAAUGUGUCCAGACUUGCUUCUUCACUCUGAGCAGGGAGGUGGGGGCAUGAUUACUGAAACCCUAAAUUACACAAUUUCCGCCUGGAUUAUUCUGCUCAUUUUAGCCAGAAAAAUAGCAGAAAUAGUCCCAUAAGUGAGUGCUUCUGCCCAUUUUUACAGAACACAUUGAAUUUCUAAAAUCUGGCUAUGUUUUACAAACAUCCCCUGAUGCACUGACUUGGACACAUCAUCAUUGUUGUUUCCUGGAGUCACUGGGUGUUUCGGGUCUCACAACAGACACCCUCGUUCAGGCGACCCAACCGAGGCUGAUCAGACCCCGGCCUGUGUCCAAGUGGCAUUCUACUCCCCCCACCUCUCUCCCCUCUUCAGCCAGAGCCAUCUAGACGCUUUCUCCGCAGCCUCUGCAUUGCUGUUGAUGGCUCUCUUGCGAUUGGCACCUGUUAUGCCUAGUGUGCCGUAAGCCUUGCUCAGGGAGUGGCUGGUGAAUGCCCGGCUCCCCACCUCCACUUGCAUGCAUCUGGUCCUCCAGCCGUUCUUUUGACAGUCCUCCACCAGCUCCUGGUACUUCUCCCUCUUCCUCUCUUGCGCCUCCUCCAUCCUAUCUUCCCAUGGAACUGUUAACUCGAGCAUGACCAGUUGCCUUGUAGCCUCAGAGACUAGGAUGAUGUCUGGUCUCAAUUUGGACUGGGUGAUGUGCGGUGGUAUUUUCAGUUGCCUCUCUAGGUCAACUGUCAUCACCCAGUCUCGGGCCGUGGAGAGCAACCCAGCAGAGCAGUUCUUUGGCGCUUUCCCUGGCUUCUGUCCUGCCUUCACAAACUGGAUGGCCUUGGCUGUAGUUUGGGUGCAUCAGCUGUCCUAAAUCCCCUUGCUGAUUGCCUCAGCUAUGGAUUUGAGGACCUGAUCGUGUCUCCAUCGAUAGCGACCCUCGCUCAGCGCCUUGGAGCAGCUGCUCAAGAUGUGUUCAAAUGUCCCUGUCUUGGAACACAGGGUGCAUGCUGGUGUCUCCAUUUUGCCCUUAGAAGUGCAGGUUAGAUGGGCUUGGGAGGACAUCAUACACCCCUUGGAUUAGGAACUUGAUCCUCUGAGGGUUCCACUGCCAGAUGUCCUUCCAGGUGAUGUGCCCCUCCAACGCCUGCUUCCACUUCAUCCAGGCUCCUUGCUGCUUCAUGGCCACUGAUCUGCUGGUUCGCUCCUCCUCCACCGAAGCUCACACCUCCUCCUGCACCAGCCUCUGCCUCUCCCUCCCACUGGCAGACUUGUACCGGGUUGAUGUUGCCAUCCCAAGUCCUGCUCUGCCUUGUACCACUGUGCCAAGCCUUGUGCUUCAGCCAAGACUCAGCUUGCUGGACUGCAUUGGCUGCCCUCCACUUCCUCCCUAUCCUCACCACGAUUCCAGUCCCGGACACUUUGGCGUCUCUAGAUCCUGAGUACUGCAGGUGUUCCCGUGUCUGUGCCGCUAUGAACUCCUCCCUGACUGAGUUAAAAGGGAGUCUGAGCUUGUUGGUGUUCCCGUACAGCCCAAUGUUGCUCAAGCUGCGUGGUAGCCCCAGCCACCUGCGCAGGUAGCUGCUCACCCUCUGCUCAAAACCUUCCACCACAGUCAUGGCAACCUCAUAUAUGAGGAGAGGCCAGAGGAUUCUUGGGAGGAUUCCAUGCUGGUACAUCCAAGCCUUGAAUCUACCAGGGAGCCUAGACUUGUCCACUACUCUCAGCCAGCCGUCCAGGUCAGUACUGGUUGCCUUGAUGGAGUCUCUGUCAUUCAGGCUGCAGUUGAAGACCUUCCCCAGGCUCUGCACUGGUUUCUCAGUGACCGACGGGGUUAGAUGUUCUCCCAACCUGAAGCGGAACUUGUCUGUGACCUUCCCUUUUCUUAGAACCAGGGACCUGGACUUCGCUGGCUUGAAACACAUGCGAGCCCAAGCCAUGAUCCUCUCCAACCCCUGAAGAAUCCAUCUGGUUCCUGGUACAGUUGUUGUCGUCACUGUGAAGUCAUCCAUGAAGGCUCUGAUGGGUGGUUGCCUUACUCUAGACUUGCUGAGUGGACCUCUGCAUUCUGUUUCUGCUCCCUUGGCCAGCAUUUUCAUUGCCAGUGCGAAGAGGGUCACUGAUAUGGUGCAACCAGUGAUUAUGCCCACUUCCAGCUGGUGCCAGUCAGAUGUCAGCUGGCCAGAUGAAACUCUCAAGCUGAACUUGCUAUAGUAGUCCAGGUUGAGGCUCCUCACCUUCUGGGGUAUGUGAUGCUUCUCCAGUGCGACCUCCACCAGCUUAUGGGGUAUGGAACCAUAAGCGUUCGUGAGAUCCAGUCACAGCACAGCCAGGUCUCCUCUGCCCUCUUUCACCUCCCUGAUGAGCUGGGUAACCACGCCUGUGUGUUCCAGGCACCCGGGGACUCCCGGUAUCCCUCCCUUCUGCACAGACAUGUCGAUGUACUUAUUGCUCAGCAGGAAGUUGGAGAGUCUCUUGGCCACGAUGCUGAAGAAGAUUUUACUCUCCACACUGAGCAAGGAGAUUACCCGAAACUGGUCGAUGUUCUCUGACUUUUCUUCUUUCGGUAUGUACACUCCUUCAGCAUACCUCCACGGCUGGGCGAUCUUUCCUCUCCUCCAGACCACCUUCAAGGCCUGCCAAAGCCGGUGUAAGAGUUUCGGGCAGUUCUUAUAGACCUUAUACGGCAUGCCGCUUGGGCCUGGUGCUGAGCUUGAUCUUGCUCUCCUCACCACUUCCUCCACUUCACGUAGGUUCGGCUCCUUCAGGUUGAAGUCUGAUGUAGGCUCUGGUGGUUCUGUCAGUGCAUCGCAUGUGCCUAGCGGCUAUUCUCUGCUGGGAUCGCUGUAUGUGGCCUUGAGGUGGUUGUUGAUGACCUCCUUCAAGCAGGUGAGGUGGACCGUCCUCUUUUGGCCAAGUAGCUGCUUGGUCAACUUGAAAGGAUUAGCCAGGAAGGCUGCCCUCUUCCUGGCUCUCUCUUUCCGCCUCCUCCUGUGGAACUCUGCCCUCCACAGGGUCACCAGCUGCUUCCUCAGGAUUGCUCUCAGGUCUGCUUGGCCAGCUCGCUCAACUUCCCUUGCUGUUCUGUACUGCUUCUUUAUCAGCCUGAGCUCUUUCCUGAGGCGCUGGAUCUUCCUUGCUCUGUGGCUCGGAGCAUAUGCCGAUGGUGCUGGCUUAGGUGCCUCAGUUCCAAAUUGCUCUGCUGCAAUGUUCACUAUGAGGGUUGUCAUCGUCGCUAUCAUCGUUGCUAUCAUUUACAAUAUAAUAACGUAUAAAACAUAUUUACCUACAUAUUCACCUAUAUUGAGAGAUGGUUGCACACUAGAGACACGUUUUGGGUUGAAACUCAGUGGCUGGGGGGCUCCAGAGCUUGGUGCUGGAGCACUCUUCCCUCCUUCCUCUUAGGAGGAAUGCUGCGCCUUACAUUGUGAAGUUUUGAAUAGCAUAGUUAAUCUUUAGAACAGGGUACAGCACUUGAAUAUAUGUUAAAACUGUUUGACAGGGUUGUUUGGUCAAGAUUUAGGGUGUGUACAAUGUUUGCUCACUGUGAUUUGUCAGCACAGCA